rnacentral:lncRNA from 1 species
GAGCUAAUAGUACCCAACUAGCUUGAGUAGUACAUUUCUUGCACAUCCACAGAACUCGAUCAUGGCGGCCGUUCCUCCUAAUGUCGAGGUCUCCAUUGUCCCUGCACCCACUACAUACAGAAAGACUAUCCUCCGCAACCUAUGGUUGGGCCGCACUGGUGAUGACACCCAGAAAUCCCUUCUUGAGGUGGGCAAGUUUGGGCAUUACGUUGUUGUCAACUGGACUGUAUUUGAAGGAGAGGGCAACGGGGCGAAGCUAGUCGCCCGUGGACAAGGAAGCACCAUAUGCGCCGGUAGCUGGAUAUCUACUUACGUCAUAGUGUUUGUGGAUGGCAGGUAAUCACAAGUAUUUAAAUCAUCGUAUUUAUAAGUACUAUAUCCUUAUCUAGUGUUUAUAUCCUCAUUUUUUUAGUGACAGAACAGUUUAGAGUUAUCCUAAGUUAAACUUUUGCAAGUCCGAUAUAGUUGACCCAUAACGUACGCGACAUCUGCGGCACGAAAUAUUUACAAUUAUAUAAUUCAUUCAUGAUCAAACUAAUGAUACCAAUUCAAUGUGGUACAGAUGUUGGUAUGUUCUCUUCUGUAAAUAUGGUCAAACAUGAUGAUGUUAAAGCUUGGAAAAAAGCUCACUUAUUUUCAAAAAGAGGGUUACCUUUCCUAGUAUUUUUUGUUUCCUUUAUUUAACAUGAUAUUAUUGUAUGCCAUGUUUCAUGCGCAGGUUCAAAGGAUCCACCCUUCAAGUGAUGGGAAACGCCUUGGGUGUUAAUGGUCAGUUGGCUGUUACUGGUGGGACUGGGGAGUUUGCUCUUGCAAGUGGUAUCAUCAAGGUGGAUUUUGACAAACUUACUGGUGUUGACCACCUUACGGUGGAAGUGUAUACACCAGUGUUCUUAGGACCGUGUUAUGCAGCAGCGGAGAAUUAGUCCCUUGGGCCUGAUCAGAUUUACCAGUUGCUCUGAUCAAAAUAAAGUUUUUGACUUAAUCUCAGUUUCAUCCAUAAUAUGAGGGAUACUGGUUGUUCCCAACUCAUGUUUCCAGUUAUAAUAUUUUUAGUUCAUCUCAAAGCUUCUUACCACAACACCAAAUGUAAUCCUUUUCUCAUUCAAUGUUGGUGUUUUCGUGCCAUCAAUGUGCGAUUUUUCUUCAAUAAUGAUACUUUAUAUUGAUAUCUUUGUCGCAUCAAGGCUAUUGAGAUGUCAGUUAAACCUUGAGCUAGUUAGAUAUACUGAAGGCGUUUUGUUCAACACCUCAGUUGCCAACCCUCCGUAUCAAAAUACAUUGUUAAAAGGGAAUGGUGUCAAAGUCAAAUAUGUUUGCUUCAAGUCGCUGACAUAAAAUUGAUCAUGCACGGUUGAAGGGAAUGAUGUCCAUAGACCUUCCAGGUAAGGUCAUCAUGAUCUUACAAUGCUCAAGUCGAUCGAUUCAUGGUAACGCAAAAAUCAUCAUGCACAUUUGAAGCAUGCACCCAUCACCUGAAGUGUGAACCCCGCACGGGGUCCACAUUUCAGGUGAUGGGUGUAGAUGAAGCGCUAUGUUACGGUCACCAGCUAUGUUACUCAAAUUACCUCUCGCCUCGUUAACUAAAUGUCACAUAAGCAAAAUUGAUGAGCUAAACACUAUGUUAUACUGUGCAAGUUUCUCCCAAUAUGGUCAGUCUAAAGGGGGUGAUUCAUGUUGUUAUCAUAUUAUGGUGGCCAUUUAUUAGUUUUUGUGGGACUAGCAAAAAUGCUCGUGCGUUGGAACCGGAGAAUGCUUAGCUCAUGGGUCCGUGUGUUAUCAUGGGAUAACACUCAUGUAUGUGAUGCUAUCAAGAUUCGUCUUAAUCAAAAACUUAAUUAUCAAUUUUUUAAAGUAUCAUACAUGCACAAUACAUGCAUUUUUCUACAUAAAGAGAUACGUGGUUGAAUGCCCAUGCAUUGCUAUGGAGAAGAAAAACAACUGAUUGCAUCUUUCCCACUUGGCGAUUACAUCCAGGCACCUUGAUCACCACAAACUCACUUGUCACCCAAGUAACAUAAAUCAACUUUAGUCAUGACCAACAUGGGAGAAAAGUCUCUGAUGAAAAAAACUACGGAUAGAGGUACUCUGGGUCGCCAGUUUGGCAAAGAUGCUGUCGUUGACAACCUAAAUUUUGCUCAUAGUGUCCUAGAUAUUUUGGGAAACAUUAUACAUCAAUGUCACUGUUAGCAAUCUCCACCAUAGUAUUGUCUGAAUCUCCGUGCAAGAAUUCAGUACAUGCAUCCUACCUACUUCUGCUUCUCAGCUUGAGAACCAUUUAAAGUAAACAACUGAGCAUUGUUGCCAUGGUUAGAAAUUCAAUUGGGUUAAAUUAGCAAUGCAUGUACAACAUACCAGACAAAAUCUGAGUUUAUACACACACUACAAUCAUUGUGUGACGUCCCCGAUUUGCCCGUACACUAAUCAUGCAUGUAAAUGUGUACGACAAAGAUCAGGGAGUCACUAAAAGAUAUCACAAUACAACUCCAAACACAAAUUAAAGUCUUACACGCUUUAUAUUACAAGUCAGGGGCCUCGAGGGAUCGAAUACAUAAGCCCGAAUACAAACGAGUCAGUAGAAGCAACAACAUCUCACUACAGACAUAAGUUAAACAAGUUUUGCCUUACACUAGUAGAAAAAGGACCUAAUGUGAGACACAUUAGUCUCGGUUUGAUUUUGGCCUGGUACUAUUAGUGCCGGUUCGAACGGCUAUGCAUUAAUGCCGGUUCGUGUUGAACCUUUAGUACCGGUUCGUGCGAUCACCUUUAGUACCGGUUCGUGGCACGAACCGGUACUAAAGAGCUAACCUUCAGUACUGGUUCGUGUCAUGAACCGGGACUAAAGGGGUCUGACCUAUAGUACCGGUUGGAGAGACAAACCGGGACUAUUGGGCAAUUUUCAAACUCUACCACCCCCCCCCCCUAGUGUAUCGCCAUUUCAGUUUUGAAAAAAUCAAAAGAAAAUGAUAAAAACUUCAAAAAAUAAAAUCCUUUGAGAGGUAGUUAUAUUACUACAUCUACCAGUUACGAAAAUUUGAAAACUUCAAUUUGGACAUGUUUUGCAAAAAGUGUAGGGAAAAUGUAAAACGGCUAUAACUUUUGCAUACGAUGUCAGAAAAGGACGUAUAAAUAUCAAAAAAUUCAGCACAAAAAUCCACAUCCGAUUUGUCCGCCUACGGCCUGUUUGCAAUUUUUUAGAAUCCUCAAAUUCCAAAAGGAAAAAAAAGAUAUGCUCAAAUUUCAGUUUUUUGGUUAAAUCUGGUCAACUAUGGUCAAACUACUUAUUCAAGAAGUAUUAAUGUUACUACGUAAUUAUUCAAGAAUAUUAGUGUUACUAAUUAAUUAUUUCAAUUUUUUGAAUUUUGGUCAAAUCUGGUCAAACUAUGGUCAAACUGUGGUCAAAAUUAUUCAAGAAAUAUUAGUGUUACUAAAUAAUUACUGUUUUUUAGAAUAAUAGUUUCAAACUCAAACGGUGAAAUGUGUGACCUAAUGCUCAAGCUAAACUAUUGAGGGUUAAUAGGAUUGACAGCUUACAUUUGUUAGGAAAACAACAAGUGCAGAGUUGGAAAGUAGAGGGAAUACAACUCCGAAGUUAAGCGUGCUCGGCUGGGGGAGUGAGAGGAUGGGUGACCGGCCGGGAAGUUAGACGAUUUGGAAUGAGUGAUCCACACUUGAGUAGUUAAGAGGGGUGAUUAGAGACUAAUUCAUCAAAUAAUUCAGAAAAUUGAAAAUCCAAAAAAAAGUUCAAAAUUUGUUUCCAAAAUUUUCAAAAAAAAAAAACCUUUAGUACCGGUUGGUAACACCAACCAGUACUAAAGGUCCCCCAUACCAUGGCGCGAGCUCACGCCACGUGGUGGGCCUUUAGUGGCGGUUCGUGCCGAACCGGUACUAAAGGGGGGGCCUUUAGUCUCCACUCUUUAGUGCCGGUUGCAGAACCGGCACUAAAGGCCCUUACGAACCGGUGAUAAAGCUUCGUUUUCUACUAGUGUUAAGAAGGCUAGCACAAACAUCAACGAUCGAAGAGGCAAGGCCUCCUGCCUAGGACCUCCUAACUACUCCUGGUCAUCGACGGUCUCCACGUAGUAGUAGGCACCCUCGGAGUAGUAGUAGUCAUCGGUAGUGGCAUCUAACUCCUGGGAUCCGUCAUCUGAUUGCAACAACCGGAAAUAAGAGAGAAGGGGGAAAUGGGGUAGCAAAGCAACCGCGAGUACUUAUCCAAAGUACUCGCAAGCAUCAGAUCUAGACUAAGUAUGCAUGAGUAUUAAAGGAAUGAGUUGUAUCUGUGGACUGAACUGCAGAAUGCCAGAAGAGAAGGUGAAAGGCCUAGCCUAUCGAAUACUAGCAUCUUCUGGAGAGCACCAUCUUGCAGAAUGAGUAAAGAAUAGCAUUUUAUAAUUAACAAAAAUGUUCUAUCAUUAACACCCAGAGAUCCUUUCUGGACUCCCUGUGAGAAAGCAAUCCCGGAGCCAUCAUCAUAUCCAACACAUAUCUCAAGUAUCCAUUUCUAGUUAUAAUAGAUCAGGAUACAUCUGCGAGCGUCCAUUACAGUGGACACGACUAUUCGAAUAGAUAACUACCUUGCAGGGGUGCACCACAUUACCGAACACGCUUGAUUAACUCUGGAAGGAAACACUUUCCUGGGUCAUGCCCAGCCUGGGAAGAUCAACACGUCGUAGCCCUACCUAGUCUCCAUAGAGAGGUCCCAGCCGGUCUACAUCCUAAGCGUUCCGGGGUGUUGGGCCCAUCGCCCUUUGCACUCUGGGUCAUUCGAGCAGGGCGUACCAGGCACCACCUCUGCCUGGAUGGAGCCGGCCCAGCCUUCCCCCAAUGCUGAACUGGAUGUCUGACACAGUUUUUGGAUAAAACGUACCACGUCGAGGCCCAUAACUAUUCUCGCGUGGCGGUUAGUGCGUAUAGGCUAGUUGCCCACUCAAAUCAAAUUCACAAACCUUUUAGUGCAUUAUUUAAAGAGGUGACGGCUGUCAGGACAAGUCCGGAGCUAUCACCACACUAGUGCAGAACAUGCCUUUAUCACCGGUUCGUAAGGGCCUUUAGUGCCGGCUCUGCAACCGGCACUAUGGAGUGGAGACUAAAGGCCCCCCCUUUAGUACCGGUUCGGCACGAACCGGCGCUAAAGUGCCACCACGUGGCACGAGCCAGGCCCGGGUGCUGGUAGACCAUUAGUACCGGUUGCUAGCACCAACCGGUACUAAAUGUUUGGGGGCGUUUUGGUUUUAAUUUUUAUUUUUCCAUUAAUUUUGUGUUUUCCAUUUAAUUCUUUUUUGUUUGCUGGUAUUUUACGAUACUACAUAUUGUACACGUUAUGCAUAUAUAUAAAUAGAUUUUCUCGUAGAACUGAUCAUAUAUAUAUAAUCGAAUGUCUCACAACCACCAUUAAUUAUUCACACAUACACAUGUAUAUAUAUAUACAGUUUCUCCUACAUGUUGCCUUGGUGCCUUCGGAGCACGAUGACAAGUGGUUCAUGGGGGCGGUAGCUGGUAAUUGUAUUCUCCUUUGGAUCUAUGACCUGGUCGAGCAAAAAUCCCGCUAUUUCCUCUUGAAGUGCUCAUAUGCGCUCCUCUGAUAGGAGCUUGUCCCGCACCUCUUUGAAGUGUUAAGAAGGGGAUCAAUAUGCAUGUGUAUUAGUUGUGUGACUAGAUAUCGACAAUCAUGUAAGAUUUGUGAAUAGUGUUCUGGCAAACGUACCCAGUCCUGUCUAUCAGAUCUGGUCCUUUCGGACGCCAUCAUGCGAAUGUUCUCGCAAAUGUAGUAUGCACACACUUCAGUCCCCGGCGCCUGCUUCAGGGACUUUACGACAAUAGAAUUUAAUCAGAUAAUAAUUAAUCAAGCAUGUUAAUUAAUUAAUGGUAUUGAAACAAGAAUUAAAGAGAUGGUAGCUAGCUAGCUAGUACUACUUAAUUACUUACCUUGGGUCGAUACCAACAUAGCUUUUGUCAUCAUUUUCCUGGAGUCACCUUGAUGUACUUUGCGCAAGCCCUACCCGCCGGCAAAGAAAAUUAAUAAAGGGGUUAUUAAAAAUAGUUCAUAUCAGGAAAUGACGAACUAAAUAGGCCGAGAUAUAGUUAAUAAUGAUUGAAAUAACCUGUCGACUAUCCCCUUCACGAUGUUGUAGUCACUAUUUUUUUAAGUAGUGAGUCCAGUACUUCAACUUUUCCUUCGUCAACUUUAAUGUCUAACAAGAUCCAGUGGAAGCUGCAUGCGCAUACGUUUGCAUGUAUAAAUUAAGCGGGCAUGUGCAUAGCACUAAUCAACUAUAACCCUAAACCCUAUACACUUAUUAACAUCUAGCUAGUAAGCAAAAAUAGAAUUUGUAGUACAAGACAGUGUGACUCACUCGAAGUUGUAAGGAAGUAGUAUAUCUUCAUUGCUAUUGAGGCGCUUCAAGAACUCUAGCAUGCAUUUCUCUACAUCUUGUCUACAUCAUUCCAAUUUCCAUGUGUAUUCAUUAACGGUAUUCGGGUCAAUGAACCCAAUGCCAUAGUGUCCAGCUUUUUUCAUUUCAUACAUCUUCAUCCUGCAUAAUACCAUAGAAAAAAAAUAUAUAGUGAGGAUAUAUAAUUACAGGUAAUUAAUGAUCAAUCAAUGAGCACUAGAGCUAGCUUGAGACUUAGAUUACAGAAAGAAAUCACUUACAGACAAUAGCAACUGAUGAUAGAUUUGUCGAGUGCAUCUUGAUUGAAUAACGGAAAUAGUUCUGAAUACUCAAUGGCCAGAGCUUUCUUAUGGAAGUAAUGAUCUUCCUCGACUUGCACCAUGAGGGACUCUCGAUUGGAAAUCUUGGUAAUUUUCAUGUACCAAUCAUGCAAUUCAUACAUUCUCGUUGGGAGGUUCUUGACCUCCUCGGGCUCGACCAAAGGUUGGCCCCGGACAUAUUUCCGUUUUAUUUCCUCCUCUCUAAGCGGAGGCAUGGGCUCGAUCUCGAGGAGUUGUCCAACAGUGAUCUUGAGCAUUUCAGCCUGCAUUAUAUGCUCCUCGGUUAUUACCACAUCGCCCAGCUCGGGAACGUAAACGGUUUGCCCGCAAUAAUAUUGGGCGCGCGUACUCUCAUGUGUUGUUGGCACAACAAGCGGGGGGGUCGAUUGCGCCGCCUGUUCUCCCAGCUGGGGAACGGUUUGCUAGCAUUUUUUGACAGCUGCUUGUUGGCUCGAGCUCAAUCUCGCUUCUUUCUGUAGUCGUGCUCGAUGUGCCUUCCUGAUUUGGCACUCAUAGUCUGAGUCAAUAGGCUUGGGAGCUGGUGGUCUAGCCAUACGAAUGAAGUGGUCAAUCUUUUCCUCAAGCACUUUCUCCCUCGGCGGCGUUGCCGGUUUCGGUCGGAAAUGAACGUCCACUUCGGCCCGCACUAUUGCAUCAUUUUGCUACUCGGUCAUGUCGUAAGGCCUCUGAGGAAGCGGAGCGAGGCUGCUUGGACCAUAUUUAUAUCGCUUGUCUCCGCCUGUACUUUAUGUACUACCUCGACUCGUACCGCUACGUACCAUAGCUGCGGCGUGUCUCUUCUGCGAUUGCUUAGGCGGAGGAGACGACUGACGUGGCUUAGUUGGAGCAGGAGGAGUGGCCUGACGUUGUGCUGGACUUGAAGCAGGACGUGUGGCCUGACACGGUGUCGGACUUCAAGCAGGAGGUGUGGCCUGACGUUGUGCCGGACAUGAAGCAGGAGGUGUGGCUUGACACGGUGGCGGACUUGGAGGAGCGGGAGUCUGCUGACACGGUGGCGGACUUCGAGGAGGAGUCGCCAGACGCGGUGUCGGUGGACUUCGGAAGAUGAUGCAAUCCUUUUUCCAUAGGAUGAAACGAUGUAUGGCCUCUCCCAGUGUUUGCUCGUCGUCACCUCCAGGAAUGUCAAGCUCUAGCCCCGAAUAUGGGCCCACCACCUCAUCAACCAAGACACGAGCAUAGCCCUCUGGAAUCGGGGCUCAAUGGAAGGUUGCUUCGGGGGUAAUUGUAAAAGCAAUGGCAUUCGCCACCUUCAUGGAUAUGUUCUUCAUUUUGUAGUGUAGCUCACAGUUAGUGUUCUCUAUGAUGUCAUCCACAGGGUAUGUAUCCAGCAGUGCGUCACCCGGGGCAGAACCAAUGCUGCUUCUCGGCAUGGAUGGGACGGUGCUAUCCAAUGCUGGAUGAUCAUCCGCUUGCUGCUGCCGCUCCUGAGACCCCCUUUCCUGGCUAAGUGAGUCGAUCUGCUGCUGCUGCUGGAAUUUGAGUGCCAAGUCCGCGUGCCUUGCUUCUAUGCCUUCAAGGUGUUCCGCGUCCUGCUUCCUCUGCUCCUCCUACAGCUUCCUCUUCUUCUCCUCCUCCAUCUUCUUUCUUGCACGGGUCAUGUAGUCGUCGUUCCAUUCCGAAAAGCCCUCAUACCAGGGAAUAACGCCCUUGCCUCGUGUUCUUCCUGGGUGUUCAGGAUUUCCCAGGGCGCGCGUAAGCUCGUCGUUCUCUCUGUUGGGCGUGAACACCCCCUUUCGAGCAUCUUCUAUUGCGUCAAGUAACUUUUGUUCUGCUCCGUUUAGACUUGCCUUCUUCGAAACCAGGCCUGUCUUCGGGUCCAAUGCCCCCCCCCAUGCACAUAGAACCAAGUUCUGCACCUGGGAGGCCAGCUCCUAGUAACCGGAAUGACCCCUGCAUCCUCCAUCUCUUGCUCAGACUUAUCCCACUUAGGCAUUCCCACCGCGUAGCCACCUGGACCCAGCGUAUGGAACUGCGUCUUUUUUGCGGCAUUGGCCUUGUUUUUUCUCGACCGUUCCUUAGAUAAUUCUGAUUUCUUGAAUUUCACGAAAGCGGGCCAGUGUUCUCUUUGCUCCUCUAGUGUUCCCUUGAAUUCUGGAGUCUUCCUUUCUGCAGCGAGGUAGUUGGCCCAUACAGUUUUCUAGUGGGUGUUGAAUGCAAUUGCCAUCUUCUUAAGAGCAGCGUCCUUGACUUUCGGCACAUCUGCAUCAGUGAAAUAAUCUGGUAGGGUAAAAUGUUCCAUCAGAGAUUCCCAAAGCUUUUGUUUUGCUCUGUCAUCGACCCAAGUAACAUCUGGGCGUUUAGUUUUUGGCUCUUUCCAUUCUUGAAUGGAGAUCGGGAGUUGGUCCGUCACAAGAACUCCGCACUGACGAACGAACUUGCUCGCAAUGUUCUUAGGCAUGAGGGGUUCUCCACUAGCUUUGAUGGAAUCGAUGUUGUACUUUACACCCUCCUUCAACUUUUUGCUCGGGCCGCGCUUUGUCCUGCUGUCUGUAGAAGCAAAUUUGCUCGAUCCGGAGGGCUGAAAGAAGAAAGAUUGAUUCGUUAAUAUAUCUUCAAAUAAAAAAACAUGUGAUGAUCACUAGAUGCCUGCUUAUAUAAAUAUACCUCGCCGGUAGUCUUUGUUAUUUCAAGAUCAACAUUGUAUUCGUCAUCAUAAUCAUUGUCUGCGUCAUCAUAAUCAUAAUCAUAGUUCAUGACUUCAUCAGCUCGGUCGUCGAGAUCGAAUAUCUUAUCAUCACCCUCCCCGGUAUUGUUCAGAUAUUGGGAGCCGUCAUUUGCUUCAUUCAGAUCAUCUGGCCUGCUAGGGCUGCGUAUGAUCUCGAACAGGGCCGCUUCUUCCUCUCUGCCGGUAUUGUCCGCCAUAGCUUUUAUUUAACUAAUACAGAAAAAUAUAAAACAAUUUAGUAUUCAAAUUACAAUGCAUGGGUGCAAUCAAUAAGGAAAAACUGAAUCAUAUAGUACAUAAUAUGCAUCGUCUCGAAUAAUAUAUAAUCUCGAAUACAUCGUCUCGAAUAAUAUAUAAUCUCGAAUACAUCGUCUCGAAUAAUAUAUAAUCUCGAAUACAUCGUAUCAAAUAAUACAUAAUCUCGAAUACAUCACUGGCUAGGUAGCUAAUAAAGAUCGAAUACUAUAGAAGAAUCUAGGCCACUCACGGUUCCUGGGGCGCGGGCGGUGGACACCCAAAGACAAGGAACCAUCACAGGAUCAUAUCUCCGGUCAUCUGCCCAAAGAACCUGCCAGGUAUUGGAGAACCUGACGUCCAUAGCAGCCAUGUAGCGAUGGACGUGCUCGUCCUCCUCCCUGACACGACGACGCACCACCUCCGGCGGGGCCGCCUCCCUCUGCACCGAAUGUGGCCAAUGCGAACGCCACCAAAGGAGAUCAGGGUCGACGACGGGACCCGAGGCCGGGUUCCUCACCAAGCGGCGCGCCCCUCCAGGUAGCACCUCCCAGUGCCAGCCCGGCGGAGCCCAAUCCCGGACAUGGGCCAGCCGGACGUCGUCGCGAACGGGUCGACGGCGAGGAUGCGGGUCGGGCAUCGUCGAGAACAAAUACUAUAUGCCUGCAAAAAGUAACAUUUUUUAAAUGAUUGGAUUGUGAUAACUGAAAUUAUAAGAAACUGAAAAAACAUCGAUCAUCGUCUAACAAUUUGACAUUAAUCUAAUUCAUCUAGCUAAAACUAAUUCUAAAAUUUCUAACAUUUCUACAUAUUAACUAACAUUUCUAUAACAUUUCUAAUAUUUCUGUAACCAAAAAGCAGAAAAAUUGCUAACAUUUCUAUAACUAAAAUUAUAAGAAACUAAAAACUACCAUUUCUAUAACAUUUCUAUAACAAUUUGAAAUUAAUCGAAUUCAUCUAGAUAAAACUAACAUUUCUAAAAUUUCUAACAUUUCUAUAUACUAUUUGACAUUAAUCUAAUUAAUUAAUUAAUUCAUCUAAAACAUUUGUAUAAAAAACAGAAAAAACAGAAUCGUGUGUGUGUUUCUGUGCGUGUGUGUGUGUGUGCGUGUGUGUGUGUGCGCGUGCGCGUGCGUGUGUGCACCCUACGGCGCCGGCGGCGCGGUGGCUUCAAUUGGAGGGAGGAGAGGGGCCGGGGAGAGGGGCUCACAGCGCGGGCGACGGCGAUGGCGACGACGAGGCGACGGGACGGCGAGGCAGAGGGGACGGCGACGGACGGCGACAGGGACGGCGACUAGGGCAGCGGCGACGGCGACGGACGGCGACGGGGACGGCGAUGGGGGCGGCGACGACGGGCGGCGACGGGGGCGGCGGCGAUGGGGCAGAGGAGAAAAAGCAGAGGGAGAACGAACUGCUGAAUUUUUUUUGAAGUGUUUUCUUAUAUAGAACCCACCUUUAGUACCGGUUGGAGCCACCAACCGGAACUAAAGGUCUGUUUUGGCCAGACGAAGCGGCGGAAAGUGCACACCUUUAGUACCGGAUGGUGGCACCAACCGGUACUAAAGAAGGGUCUUUAGUACCGGUUGGUGCCACCACCCGGUACUAAAGGGGUGCGGUGGCGUAGGUGCGGUGCGGGCAAGUUUAGUCCCACCGCGCUAGCCGAAGGGCGCCCGCACCUGCUUAUAAGCCCCGCUGCGGCAGCUGGCUCGAGCUCCUCUCUAUUGCAGGCCUUGUGGGCCUACCUGUUCUAUGCUGCCAUGUGGGCCUGUUGGGCCUUUGCGGGCCUGGAUCCUGGCCCAACAAUAGGUCGGGUUUCUAGUCGUAUGCAGGCCGUUGUGGCGCAGUAGGCGGGCUUUUUUAUUUUCUUAUUUAUUUUUGCUUUAUUUAGUUUUGUUUUAUUUAUUUUUGAGUUGUUUUUUGCUGUAUUUAGAGUUUCUUUGUGAAUAUUUUUGCUUUAGGUACAAAAAAAUACAAACUUUCUAUUAGUGCCGGUAGUUUAUAAAUUUGAAUAGUUUACAUUUUGAAUUAUUUGAAAUUUGUGUGAAUCACUAGUUUGUGAAUAACUUAACUUUGAAAAUAGAUUUUCAGUGAUUAUUUUUUUCUUAUGCUUAAUAUUAGUGUGUUUUAUAAUUAUAUUCAAUUUGGUAAUGCUUAGGUUAUUUAAAAAAUGAAAUGCCUUUGUAACGGAUGAGUUUUCGUCCGAAACCCGGAUACGUCGAAAGAGAUUGUCCAUUUUAUACAUGAAGUGCAUCCAGUUUUUGCGGUAACCCUCUCUACUUUUUUGCACAUGCUAUGUGGGUGAAAUUAUGAUACCAUGCCAACUUUCAACCUUUUCUGACUUAAUUUGAAAUGCUUUUUAAUUUCAUGGUCAUUUAGCUGAAAAAAUCAGUAAAUGCAUGAAAGAAUUUGUUUGCACAUAAAAUUUCUUCGCGUUUCAAAUGCCAAAACACAUAACUACCCUAACUAUUACGGAGAUCCCCUCCUGGGUGUGAAACACAGAAGAAAUUGAUGAUAGUGAAGCCGAUCACAUCCCAGAUCUUUGGGUGUGAAACUUUUUCUUCGCGUAUGUCCCUUUGUGCCAUAGCUAUGGAAAAUCUUUAUCAUUUAACUGGAUGCUCGGGUCAAUAUUCACUGUGAAUGGAGCAAUUUCAUCAAACUUUUCAUAAUCUUCUGACAUGUCUGUCUUGUCAUCCACUCCCACGAUGUUUCUCUUCCCAGAAAGAACUAUGUAGCGCUUUGGCUCAUCGUAUGAUGCAUUCGCUUCCUUAUCUUAUCUUUUUCUCGGCUUGGUAGACAUAUCCUUCACAUGGAAAACCUGUGCCACAUCAUUAGCUAGGACGAAUGGUUCGUCUGCAUACGCAAGAUUGUUGAGAUCCACUGUUGUCAUUCCAUACUGCGGGUCUUCCGUUACCCCAUAUCGUGUCAUAUUGACCCAUUUGCACCGAAACAAAGGGACCUUCAAAUCACGUCCAUAGUCAAGUUCCCAUAUCUCCUCUAUGUAACCAUAAUAUGUUUCCUUUCCCGUCUUGGUUGUUGCAUCAAAGCGGACACCACUGUUUUGGUUGGUGCUCUUCUUAUCUUGGGCGAUCGUGUAAAAUGUAUUACGAUUUAUCUCGUACCCUUUGAAAGUCAUUAUAUUCGAAGAUGGUAACUGGGACAGCGAGUACAGGUCAUCUUCAAUAGAGGCGUCAUGCAUGGUACGUGUCUGCAACCAGCCGGCGAAACUCCUGGUUUGUUCACGUGUAAUCCAAUCAUCAGACCGCUCCGGGUGUUUGGAGUGUAGAAAAUUCUUCUGUUCGUCCAUAUACGGAGCCACCAAGGCGGAAUUCUGUAUAACUGUGUAGUGUGCUUCAGUGAGAGAAUGUCCGUCCAUACAUAUUUUUUGAUUCCCUCCUAGCGUGCCUUUUCCAUCCAGUCUGCCUUAUGCCUUGAUUCAGGAACACCAAUCGGCUUAAGGUCAGGAAUAAAGUCAAUACAAAACUCAGUGACCUCCUCAUUUUCAUGGCCCUUGGAGAUGCUUCCUUCUGGCCUAGCACGGUUAUGAACAUAUUUCUUUAAGACUCCCAUGAGCCUCUCAAAGGGGAACAUAUUGUGUAGAAAUACAGGACCCAAAAUGCUAAUCUCUUCGCAUAGGUGAACUAGGACGUGCGUCAUGAUGUUGAAGAAGGAUGGUGGGAACACCAAUUCGAAACUGACAAGACAUUGCACCAAAUCAUUCUCUAACCUUGGUAUGAUUUCGUGAUUGAUUACCUUCUGAGAGAUUGCAUUGAGGAAUGCACAUAGCUUCACAAUGGCUAAUCGAACGUUAUCCGGUAGAAGCCCCCUCAAUGCAACCGGAAGCAGUUGCGUCAUAAUCAUGUGGCAGUCAUGAGACUUUAGGUUCUGGAACUUUUUCUCUGCCAUGUUUAUUAUUCCCUUUAUAUUUGACAAGAAGCCAGACGGUACCUUAAUACUGAGCAGGCAUUCAAAGAAGAUUUACUUCUCUUCUUUGGUAAGAGUGUAGCUGGCAUGACCCUGAUGUAUGCCGUCUUUUCCAUGCAUACGUUGCUGGUCCUCCCGUGCCUCAGGUGUAUCUUUUGUCUUCCCAUACACGCCCAAGAAGCCAAGCAGGGUCACGCAAAGAUUCUUCGUCACGUGCAUCACGUCGAUUGCAGAGCGGACCUCUAGAUCUUUCCAAUAGGGCAGGUCCCAAAAUAUAGAUUUCUUCUUCCACAUGGGUGCGCGUCCGUCAGCGUCAUUUGGAACAGGUUGUCUGCCAGGACCCUUUCCAAAGACUACCUUCAAAUCCUUGACCAUAUCAUGUACAUCAGCACCAGUACGGUGGCGAGGCUUCGUCCGGUGAUCCGCCUCACCUUUGAAAUGCUUGCCUUUCUUUCUUACGGGAUGCCUGCUCGAAAUAAAUCGACGAUGUCCCAGGUACACAUUCUUCCUACAAUUGUCCAAAUAUAUAUUGCCGGUAUCAUCCAAACAGUGCGUGCAUGCGCACUAUCCCUUGUUUGUCUGUCCUGAAAGGUUACUGAGAGCAGGCCAAUCAUUGAUGGUCACGAACAGCAAGGCCUUUAGGUCAAAUUCUUCCCCCAUGUGCUCAUCCCAUGCAAGUACACCUGUUCCAUUCCACAGCUGUAAGAGUUCUUCAACUAAUGGCCUUAGGUACACAUCAAUGUCGUUGUCGGGUUGCUUAGGGCCUUGGAUGAGCACUGGCAUCAUAAUGAACUUCCGCUUCAUGCACAACCAAGGAGGAAGGUUAUACAAACAUAGAGUCGCAGGCCAGGUGCUAUGGUUGCUGCUCUGCUCCCGAAAAGGAUUAAUGCCAUCUGCGCUUAGACCAAACCAUACGUUCCUUGCGUCAUCUGCAAACUCCUUCCCGUACUUUCUCUCAAUUUUUCUCCACUGCGACCCGUCAGCGGGUACUCUCAACUUUCUGUCUUUCUUACGGUCUUCUCUGUGCCAUUGCAUCGCCUUGGCAUGCUCUUUGUUUUGGAACAAACGUUUCAACCGUGGUAUUAUAGGAGCAUACCACAUCACCUUGGCAGGAAUCUUCUUCCUGGGGCGCUCGCCCUCGACAUCACCAGGGUCAUCGCGCCUGAUCUUAUAGCGCAAUGCACCGCAUACCGGGCAAUCGUUCAAAUCCUCAUACUCACCGCGGUAGAGGAUGCAGUCAUUAGGGCAUGCAUGUACCUUCGGCACCUCUAACCCUAGAGGGCAGACAACCUUCUUUGCUUCGUACGUACUCUCGGGCAAUUCGUUGUCCUUUGGAAGCAUAUUCUUUAUCAUUACCAGCAACUUUCCAAAUCCCUUGUCAGAUACACCAUUCUCUGCUUUCCAUUGCAGCAAUUCCAGUGUGGUGCCCAACUUUUUCUUGUCAGCUUCGCAAUUCGGGUACAACAAUUUCUUGUGAUCCUCUAACAUGCGCUGCAACUUCUUCUUCUCCAAAUCACUUGUGCAGUUUCUCUAUGCAUCGGCAAUGGCCCGACCUAGAUCAUCAGCGGGCUCAUUUGAUGCCUCUUCUUCAGCUUCUUUCCGCAUUGCCGGCUCAGCUUCUUCCCCCAUUGUUGUAUCAUCGUAUUCAGGGAACCCAUGGCCAGGAUAGUUGUCGUCGUCCUCUUCUUCUUCAUUGUCUUCCAUCAUAACCCCUCUUUCUCCGUGCUUGGUCCAAACAUUAUAGUGGGGCAUGAAACCGGAUUUAAACAGGUGGACGUGAAUGGUUCUUGACGUAGAGUAAUUGUGAUCAUUCUUACAGACUAAACAUGGACAAGGCAUAAAACCAUCCGCCCGCUUGUUUGCCUCAGCCGCAAGCAGAAAAGUUUGCACGCCAUUAAUGAACUCGGGAGAGCAUCGGUCAUCGUACAUCCAUUGUCAGCUCAUCUUCAUUACACAACACUGAAUAGACCAAAUUAAUACAAGUUCAUACAUAAAGUUCAUACAUAAAGUUCAUACAAGACUUAAAUGCAACAAACUAAUAACUCUCUAACUAAAGAAUAUAAAUGCAACAACAAAUGCGAUCAAGAUCGCAACUAAGGUAACAAUUGAUCCAACAGCAUAAUGAUACCAAGCCUCACUAUCAAUGGCAUAUUUUCUAAUCUUUCUAAUCUUCAAGCGCAUUUUCUCCAUCUUGAUCUUGUGAUCAUUGACGACAUCGGCAACAUGCAACUCCAAUUCCAUCUUCUCCCCCUCAAUUCUUUCCAAUUUUUCUUUCAAAUACUCGUUUUCUCUUUCAACUAAAUUUAACCUCUCGACAAUAGGGUCGGUUGGACGUUCCGGUUCACAAACCUCCUAGACAAAAAUAUCUAUGUCAACUUGAUGGGCAUAAUUUGUCAUAAACACGAAAUGCAACAACUAGUUUUAAAAGAGAAUAUACCACAUCCGAAUCAUAACAAGGACGAGGGCCGACGGGGACGGAUAUCGAAACCAUGGUACUAUGUAUAACAAACAACGUACGGGCGAUCGACUGUGGUUACGACGGAGAUUUAGAAGGCACUAAGUAAACCACACCUACAUAUGCAAACUAAGUGUUAGUUUUGACCACAAAUUGCAUAUAAAUCAAAUACUAGCACAUAUAUUUUCUACCAAAUUACUAAACUCAUAAAUUAAUCACUAUACAAAGCAUUGCAAGAGCUAAUCUAGCAAUGAGAGAUGAAAGGACAAAGUUGCUACCUUUGUGAUCAUUUGAAUGGAUGGGGGCCUUCAAAUCUUGACAAAUUUUGGGCAAAAUGUGUGAUGAGCUCGAGAGGAAGAGGGGACGAAUAGAGAGGAGAGGGGAAAGGGGGAGAACAGAGCGAGCUCGGGUGGACGAAGGGUUUAUGUAGGACGACCUUUAGCACCGGUUUGUGCCAUGAACUGGUACUAAAGGUGCUGGAGGGGCCCCGGACUGACAACAUCCUGCCACCACUCACUUUAGUACCAGUCCGUGGCAUGAACCGAUGCUAAAGGUCGGCCAUGAACCAGUACUAAUGAAAGCGGCUGGCUAGCUGUUGGAACCGGCACUAAUGCACACAUUAGUGCCGGCUCAAAAGCAAACUGGCACUAAUGUGCUUGACAUUUGACCAUUUUUCUACUAGUGCCACCUCCUGGGUGAUAUCGCUAAAUGGCCAGCCACCACCGUAAAUCUCGCGGGUGCUCUCCGGGCCUGCCCAACUUUCACAAGGAACUGAAGUAAAGUCAAGGUAACCUUGUGUCCAAAACAUCAAGGGGGGAAACUCGAGGAAUUACCCUCGAUGUAUUCCACUCGAUGUGACCGUCAAGGCGACCGAGGAGGAAUCACCCUCGAGGUUCACACUUGAGGGGUUGCACGACUAAGUCGUAUCGGGAGUGGUGAAGAAGGAGUCACCCUUCGUAGACCACGACUGUUUAACUACACUACAGAGAUCUCAUCAGAAGUGAUGUACGAGGUAUCACCCUCGGCAGUCGAUGGUAACUCUGCAGAGUAGUACAACUAAAGGGGAUGAGGUGUUGUGUCGGGCUCUGGUCAUCGAUUACGUUGAUCGAGUCGUUGUUCAACAAGUCGGGGCAACUGGGAAAAGGUGGGUGCCACUUGUGAAAUACCAACCAACCUAUACUAAGCAGUUUAGGAUAAGCAGGUAAGGUACAAGAGCAUGUACAAAAGCAGGCUAUGCAUCACAAUAGGAUCAAUCAAUUAUAGUUGCAAAAUCUAAUGCAAGCAUGAGAGAAUGGAAUGGGUGAUAUCGGAGUGAUCAGGGGGGGCUUGCCUAGAAGCUCUGCUGAAAGGAAGAAGAGUCAUCGUUGAAGUAGUCGAUCACAGGGGCAGCACCGGUCUCGGGGUCUACCGGAGAGGAGAGGGGGAAGAAAUAGUAAAUACAAGCAAACAGAUGCAUGACAUGACAAGACGCUGUGCUAGGGGUGUUCUAACGCGGUACAAGACGAUACUGGCGAAGAGGGAAGACAUCCGGGAAAGUAUUCUCGGUGUUAGGCAAUUUCGGACAAGUGAAAUGGAGGGGGAUGGUUCCACGUUCGCUGUGAUAGAGCCACCCAACAGACGAAUGGAAAUCAUAUUCCGAAUCAUUGUAUUUUUCUGAGCAAUUUUCAUAUAUAAAUUAUUUCCAUCCGAGUUACGGAUUAUUUUAUAUUAGUUUCCUAAGUUUAAAUGAAUUUAUGGAUUUAUUUAUAUUCCAAAUUUAAUCAGUAAAUACUUUGUCAUCUAGUACUAUUCUAGCCACAGUGUAUGGUAGUGGGGCAAGUGGGGCUGGGCUGAGUCGAAGUUUGACUGGUCAAUAUAUGAACAAUGUAGGGGCCACAUGUCAUUCAUUUAGACAUUUUUUUAAUUUGCCUUUUAUUUAAACUAAUAGUGGGUCUACGUGUCAUCUUCUAUUAGACUAACUUAGCACAAUUUUUAAUCCUAAACUAUACUAGUCCUAGUUAACACAAGGGCUGGCCAUAUGGCCGUGGCCAAGCUAGGCACACACACACCACACACAACACGCAACACACUAUGAUAGGGGUUAAUUAUGUUCUUUGUUAACAGAAGAUAGGAUUUUGUGAUUUUCAAAGGACUUAAUCCAUGCAUCAAAUGGAUUUGGUCUAGUAGGGUAAAAUGAAGUUUGUCAAGUGUACGUUAUGUCCACAUAAUUUUUAUCCAGAUUAAAGUUCGUUUUGUUGUUGUUUUGCUACAGUAUAGAGGCAUUCAGCAGCAGGAGUAGCAUUCAACAGCAGCAGUAGAUUCAGCAGAGCAGCUGCGGCCAGCGGCGUUGUGCGGUCGAGCGCGAGAAGAGGCAGUGCGGCCCUACGCAGCGGCGCAGCGAGGCAGGGGCGGGCCAGGUCCACCGGUCAAACCCCGUACGGUGAAAGUCAAAGGGCUAGAUCCGGCGUUCGUCUAUGUUAGGGUUAGACGGGCCGGGGUACCUGGGGGUAGCAAUGCCGCCAGGUGUUGCGUUGGACCCUCCUACGCUUGUGUAAGCGUGGUGGCAGGCGCAAGCACCCGGCACGCGGCUCCGUAGUGUGCCCUCCCCUCACGGGCGUAGCUGCCGCCGUGUCACGGAGGGGGGAAUUGUGCGUGUCGGGCUGACACGGAGGUGAUCCUGGGGUGAGUUGGGCCAGGAUCGUGUUCGGGGGUGUAGCUAUGGGCUGGGCUAUCACAACCAGGUGAAAAGGUCUACCAGUAAAACCCCACCUGGCCAAAGUCAAAGGGCUAGAUCCGGCGGUCGUUUGUGUCAGGGUUAGAUAGGAUGAGGUACCUGGGGAGGAAAAUUCCCUCAGUGGUGGCCCCGUCGUUGAUGAAGAAGCGAGCCAUUAAUCCUUCUGUCGAUGACACAGUGGAACACUCAAUGAAAGCACCAAUGUCGGUGUCAAAACCGGCGGAUCUCAGGUAGGGGGUCCCGAACUAUGCAUCUGAGGAUCGAUGGUAGCAGGAGACUGGGGACACGAUGUUUACCCAGGUUCAGGCCCUCUCGAUCGAGGUAAUACCCUACUUCCUACUUGAUUGAUCUUGAUGAAUAUAGGGUUACUAGAGUUGAUCUACCUCGAGAUCUUAAUGGCUAAAACCCUAGGAGUCUAGCCUAUGCAACUGUGUUUUGUCCGUACGGACUAAACCCUCCGGUUUAUAUAUGCACUGGAGGGACCUAGGGUUGUACAUGAUCAUCUUGCAGAGGAAGGAAAAUAUUACACCCGGACUCUAAACUUGCUAUUUUACACAUAUGGAGGUCCUCUCCGGAUACGGGAGAUAGUCUUCAGCGAUAAUCUUCACGGCCCACCAGUCCGGCCCAUAACGAGUAAUCCGACCACCUGAGGACCCCCUUAAUCCAUGACACCCACAAAGAGUGCAGCAACACAGAGAUUGCAACCGGGAGCUAAAAAGGAGGUGAGAGGUCGCGCCAGGAGCUGAAGGGAACGAGGGAGACGAAAAUAACAGGCUUCAACCGAAGAGGCGCGCAGUUCGGAUUCAGUGUCCACUUACAGAAAAAUGUUUCAGCUUCCGAGUGACCUUUCGUUUACCAAUCGUGUGUGGCAAAAAUUUAUACAUCGGCUCGGCUCAUUCCCGCAACAUGCAGCGCGUCGUGACGAGGCGUGGCGUGGCGAGGCGGGCGGCGCAGGAGGAGCGCAUGUGGAUGUCCCUCUUGUUCUCAUUUUCGUACAAGUAGGGAAAGAACGUCCCUUAUAAAGAGGCCCUACUCCCUCUAAACUAGCAAUGUGGGACUAAACUUUAGUAGUGCCCCUUGCCUUGCACAAAUGGGCUAAGUGGGCCUCUAGGAUUUAUUAGGAAUUUCUACAAAAAGUAUUAGGCUGGCCCAUAAGUAGAUAAAUUUCCAGCAAUCCCCCACCAGAUCACAGAGGCACACAUAAUUUGCCUUUGGUUCCAAAACACUAUUUUAUAUACCGGUACUGCAGUGGAGAUAAAUUUCCAGCAAUCCCCCACCAGAUCCCAGAGGCACACAUAAUUUGCCUUUGGUUUCAAAACACUAUUUUAUAUACCGGUACUGCAGUGGAGACUGUUAAGUUGAAUUUCCACAUAGAAUUCUAUGUUACACUAGUAAGCAACUUGAACAGUGGACUGAGCCUUGAACAGAGGAGUAUGAGUACAUACGUAGCAGGAGCAGAAGCCCCGGUCUUGGGUGAAGUGUCCUCACCAGCCAUGUCGUUGAAGAGGUUGUUGACGUCCAGGAAGAAGUCGUCGUCAGGGAAGUAGUCAUCGGAGUCCGGGGAGUACAUGACGAAGAAGUCAGUAGUCGCGCUGAGCGCUCCCCAAAAACCUUAUCACCCUUCUCCCGUACAGGUCUCAAAGAGGUGCGGUUUCGCAUGCCUACUAUCCCAUCCCGCGGUGCACGCCGCAAGUCUAGGUGAGGAAGAGUGCAGCAUCACAGAGAUUGGAACCGGUGGCGAGAGGAAGAAGAAGUUCUGGUGUGCCUCUCUGAGAGGAGAGACCUUCCUUUUAUAGGCGAGAGGCCGCGCCGGGAGCUGAAGGGAGCGAGGUAGACGAAACGAACAGGCUUCAACCGAAGAGGCGUGUCAUCCGGAUUCAGUGUCCACUUACAGAAAAAUGUUUCAAAUUCCGAGUGACGUUUCGUUUACCAAUCGUGCGUGGCAAAAAUUUAGACAUCGGCUCAUUCCCGCAACCCGCGGCGGGGCGGGCGGCGGCGGAGGAGCGCGCGUGGAUGUCCCUCUUGUUCUCAUCCUCGUACAAGUGGGAAAGAACCUCCCUUAUAAAAAGGUCCAACUCCGUCAAAACUAGCAAUGCGGGACUAAACUUUAGUAAUGCACCUUGCCUUACACGAAUGAGCUAAGUGGGCCUUUAGGAUUUAUUAGGAAUUUUUAAAAUUGUUAUUGGGCCGGCCCGUAAAUAGAUAAAAUUCGAGCAGUUGUAACUUCGGGAAAAACAAACUCUAUGAGAAGAUUACAAUGGUAUAAGAUUUAUACUAGUGCGAACCAUUAAUUCAUAUUUGUUUUGAGAAGUACUGAACAUGAUUCGGCCACAGGAUACUGCUAGGUGUGGCAGGCCAUCAUGUUCCUUCGUAAAUCCGAAAUAUGAAAAUAUCAGCACAAAUUGAGUAAAUCAUGCAAAGAUCCAGAAUACGGAAAUAUGAGUACUUAAUAUGGUUCAGGCUGAAUCUGACGAAGCGUCUUGUGCAAAUCACUUGCGAGCAUCUUUUGAUAUUCCUCGCUGCCUGCUUGGAGCAUAUAAUACUGAACAAGUGCUUUGAGCAUAUAAUCUACUCCCUCGGUUCCUAAAUAUAUGUCUUUUUAGGGAUUCUAAUAUGGACUACAUACGGAGAAAAAGAGUAAAUCUAUACUCUAGAAUAUGUCUACAUUAAUCCGUAUGUAAUGCAUAUUCAAAUCUAUAAAAAGACCUAUAUUUAGGAACGGAGUAAGUACCUCGCUCGUAAUCAUUUUAGUAUCCACCUGGCAAACAAUAUUGAUUCAUGUAUUAGUCAAAAUUAACAUCCAACAUCAACCAAAACAUAUCCAAACAACUAAAAGCUAUACCAAGCAAAGAAUUUCGAACUCCGCUGUUACCGUUACAUUACACAUUGUAAAACCAUCAAAACUAAACCGCAAUUGAGGAGUCUGUAGUUCAGUCGAAAAAAAGACAUGUUUGUACUGUGUAGCACUAUCACUCUUUUGGCAAAAUACUGAACACCAUUAUUUUUUGUACAGGAGCAGCGCAGCCUGCAGCAUGCCAGGUGCAGAGCUUGCUGGCUCACGAGCACUACGGAGAGAAAUAUGCCUGGUUAAAGAGCAUCUGGCACAGUGUUGUUAUAUUAGUAUCAUCGUACUCUGAAAGAGUGUCGAAUUCACGUGCUAGUGACUAGAUAUAUUAGUCCUAAGAUAAGCAAGUAGUGUCCCUGCCACAUCAUCGAUAGUUCGUCGUCUAUCAACCAGGUACUUGUAUAUUGUCACAGAUUUACACUUGGUCGCAGUAUGGCAAGUGCAAAACGUUGUUUAAGCAGUAGGACAGGGCAUCCUAUACAUUUUUUUAGAAAAGGAGGAUGACCCCCGGCCUCUGCAUCUGGGAGAUGCAUACGGCCACUUUAUUGAUUAUUCUCGAGGACCUUACAAAGUAUUACAACAAUAUGCCUGAAUCCACCAUCUUAGCAACAUAUGUCGCUACUCCUAUCCAUACGAUGAAGGGGUACUAGCUGGGCCACUCAGACCACUCACCUAAGCCUAGCAUCAAAAGCCGGAAGCCCCAGCCGAGCCACAUACCGGGUCUGGAGCACAAUCCGGUCAGACGCACUCGUGUGUCGUCGCCGCCAUCUUCCACAGGUCCGUCUUCAGAUCAUAUUGAGGCAUCUACCACUACAAGAAAUCUGUUAAUACGUGACGGAUCUAGUCCGUCACAGAUAAACGAACAACUGUCAUGGGUGUCCAUCCUUGACGGAUUUGAAAUCCGUCAUGUAUAUCGCGUCAUAAUUUGGUACCAUACCAGUCAUGACGGAUCUUGGCCGUCAUGGACCUGCCCCAGGCCCAAGUCUUUGUGACGAAACAAUCUGUCAUGGACUAACGCCACAUAGGAUUUUCAGUUGACUAAUUCGAAUGAUGUGGCUGCCUAUGUGGAUGCUAUUUUUUGUCACAAAAUUCAUCAUGGAUUUAGGCAAAAUUUAAAGGACAGUUUAAAUUUGGUUGAGACCAUUAGCCCAUUUCUUUUGGCCAAAAUUUGACCCAGUAUGUUUUUAACAUAAUGCGUUACACAAAUCCUAAUGCCAAUUUUGGCCCAACAAAAAAUAUUUGCAAGGUGUGAAACAUUACAAAGUUUAUCACAUCCAUCUAUACGUAUCUACAACAUAGCAGUCUAAAAAAUCCUCUACAAAAUGAUAACAUACAACAUAUAUUGAGAACAUAUAUCACACAGCAGAGUUAUGAACCAGUACAAUCCAUUUUACAUCAGAACAUAUAAACUAUUGAGGGUGUUGUUAUUCAGGCUCUUGCUGUUGACGCUCUUGAUGGCAACUAUCAUCCUGUGGCUGAUUGUGAUGGGCAGCACCAAAUAGCACGCUAUCCAAUCAUACCUACCAUAUUUAAAAGAAUGUUAUAUAUUUGCAGAUAUGAAUGGACAGUAGAAAUAAGAUAAUUGCAACAAAAAUUAAAAAAUUACAUAUUGUCCAGAAUUCCUGAAUGCAAGCAAAGAACCAUACAGAGGAGAAGAGAGAACCGAACAAAGAGAGGAGAGGCGCAUCCAAUACAGUAAAUAAUUUAUUCUCAUUUCUGAAUGCAAGCAAGCAGAAAAUAGCAUUCAUUAUAAGGCCCAUAAACUCAGGGGAAUGAUAAAUGAUACCAGGACAUGGUCCACCAAGAUAUGGCAACUCUAGUUGUGUAACAGUGCGAUGCAUGAUAUCAAGGACAUGACCAGUUCAGAUGUUACGCACAGACUAAUAUUCAGGCAGUUAUAAUUUUACUGAAACCACACAAUAGUCCAGAGCUUUAAUAGACAAAACUCUACAUCCUAGCUAAUUCACAUCAAGAAUAGAACAAGCAGAAGAAUGGAAGGGUCUCAAUCUCAUCCUGUUCUUCUCGAGGAUAAUGGUAUCGACGUCGAUCAGGCAGGAGAUGUGCCAACUAAAAUGUCCAGAUCAAAGAAAUUAGUCUGACAAUCAUAUGUGCCGUGUUAAGAGGUCUGAAUGUAACAUCAAUUUCUAGCUCCCAGAGCAUUCAAAAAUCUAUUGAGAUAUGUCCCCAUGUGAUAAAAGGACUGCCUCUCAACUACGAAAAAGACAAUCAUAAAAUUUAUUCAGUUUCAUCGCAGGUCUAUUAUUUGGAUUUAACAUUAUGCUUUAAAUAUAAUGCAAGAGUACAAUUGUCCAGUUCAUUCGUGUCUAUGGCAGCUUCAAUUGGCACUGCAAACAUUACCAGUUUUAAUAUUUAUCUUUGUUAAUGUGAGCAACUGAGCUAUGUUCCGAACUGUUCUAAAAAGUAGAUGGUUAACCCAAUGUAUUCUGUUUGUACAUCAACAUUUGACACGCCCAACUCGCUGUAUAUGUCAUUUACCGGAUGUUGAAAUUACAGUUUGUAUCUUUGUUCUGACGCUAUACUUGAAAUCUUUAUGUUUUCAAGAAAUAAUCUAUUACUCUUCUACAAAGGAAUGAAAAUGUACAAUUCUGUUUGCGGACAUGCUUCUUCUACUUCUAUUUAAGGAUUGCAUUUACUAUUAUUUUAGAAGAUAACACCGACCAAAUAUCUGAGAAUGCAUUAGUACGUAGAUGAUAAUUAAAAUGUAAAUAUUCAGACCAAAACAUCAGAUCAAAGGAGAUUAUAUUCACUUAAACUUGACUGAAAUUAAAUUGGAAAAAGCCAUGUAGUACAAGACGACAGCAACAACAGACAUGUAGUGCUAGCUUCCAAGGAGUGGCGUACAUGAAGAAUUAAGGGGCAGUUUUGUUCAAAAUAACAAUUAAGGAGUGGCCGUUUACAUACUGAUGGACGCAUACAAAUGGACAACCAAGGAGCGGCCAUAUACUGCAAGUGUCAUUCACAUCCAGACGCAUACAGACUGAAUACAAACUGAACCAAAGUACCAAACCAAGGUGCUUAUCCAUAUGUAUGUAUGUAACAGAUGCUAGUGCCAUCCAGAUUUGGGGGUAGAGAGAAGGGAAGCUCACCACGUCCACGUUUCAAGUGUCGCGUACAGGAGGAGGCGAAUCCACGAGCGUGAGGAUGAGCUGGACAACGCCGGAUGGGUGGACGGGAUUUGGGGACAAGGCUGUCGCGCCCGCGCUCAUCCCGAACAGCCGCUGCGGGCGCGCCGCGUCAGCACAUCCUACGGCAGGAGGGCCUCCGCGCGGCCCUGUUCCAGGAGCACCAUCCAGCAGGUGCAGGGAUGGAGAGAAUCCGCCGGAGCCACGCCGGCGACGAAACCCUAGCUAAGAAGAUGGGUUGAGAGCGAGCGUUGGUGGCCGGGCGUAGUGAAUCUAACCGGAGGGGAGGAAAGAGCAGAGCGAGGGGAAGAUGGGGGUGUGCUGGGGCACCGGCCAUAGCUGACAGAAGUCGCCUGAAUGGGACGGCGGCGGCCUGGAGUCGCAAGGAGUUGCGUGGGAGAGAGAUUGGGGGCUGGCUGCACAGGAGGAAGGGAGGGAGGAGUGGCCGAGCAGGUUUAGGGUUAGCAUUUUAUACGCGGGACUGUUAGUCGGGCUUGAGCGGGCCUGCGGGGCUGUAGCAGUCCAUCCAUGACAGUUUUCGAAAACGUCAUCAGAAAUCCGUCAUGCAUUAACAGGAGUUAAAAGCACCAGGAGUCCUAGAACUUGCUCUCAAUGUGAUAGUUUAGUCCUACAACUUGAAAAAUGACCCUACCCAGUCCCUGAACUUGCUCAAGAUGUGCAAAACUAGUCCUGGCGAAUCAGAGCCUGCCAUGUGGACUCGUGGGUGCGCACCCGGUCAGCGCGUGGCAAUUUGCAAAGAGCCCCCUGUCGUUGCUUCGAAUCAACCCGCACUACCACCACCAGAGCACCUGAAUUUAUUAUCCUCAUUUAAUCUGUCGAGGGGGAGGAACUCCUGUGCCUAUCGCAACUCAUUCUUCUCCAUCUUUGUCUCUGUCGGCGCUCGAGCGGCCGUUGCUGACGUCAGCAACAAUGGCUGCCUCGCCGGAGCAGUUCGGCGGUGCAGUGCCGCCUCCAUCGGCUCAUCAGGUCUGGCCGCCUGCUGUGUUUCCUCCAGACUAUGGUGAGCUCCUCUUCUCUGCACCUUCUCUCCCUGUUCCGUUUCUUGAUUGUGCCGGCCACAGUACGGCCUCGUACGGCGGAUCAGUGCGAUUGGGGAAGCUGAUUCAAGCUUGUUAGUUGCUUCGAUCUAGCAAAGUGGCAAUCCUAUCAUGAAUGCAAGCUAGGGUUAUGAGCGAUGCAUUUAGUCUAGGGUUUACUCUUCGUCGUUAUGGGUUUGGUUAAGAAGGUGAAGAAGAUGGGGUUUUGGCAUGAAGCUAGGGUUAUGAGCUAUGUUCUAUUUCUUGUGUGAGAUUGGCAUGUUGUGUUCUGUACAUUCGCUUACCAUGUUAUGGUUUAGGUGAAGUAGAUAUAAUCAAUCUGGAUGUGUAAUUUAUCUGAAUUUGUUUUGCAUGCAGUACAUGUUCAGUUAAGUUUUACUGAAUUUUUAACUGAAUUGUGCAGUUCAUGUUAAGUUAACUGAAUUUUGCACUGAAUAUAUCUACCUUUUUGUAUGAAGUACAUGUUCAGUUAAGUUAACUGCAUUUUUAACUGAACUUGGGCAGUUCAUGUUCAGUUAACUGAAUUUUUAACUGAAUAUCUCUAUGUUUGGUAUGCAGUGUGUGACUCAGCAAUGGGACAGAGUGUUCACACUCCUUUCUUUACACUAGAGCUAGAACAUGGUGGUCUUUUCUGUGGAUCUAUCAGUGCCCCAGAGUAUUAUAACUCUUCUUUGGAGGUCCUUCACUAUGUUGAUGCUUGCACAUUUUCAUAUGCACUCUUAGAAGAACACCUAAAAUGGUUGGGAUAUCCUGCCAAUGAGCACAUUAUUUACUGGUGUUUACGUGAGAAAACAAUUUCAGAUGGCUUGGUGAGAAUUAAGGGUGAUGAGGAUUUGCAGCAUCUUAUCACAGCUAGUGCUCAGCACAAAGUUCUUGCAAUUAUAGUUGACCAUGCAGACUUCAUCAGCAAUUUCAGAGAAGAUUUGAUAAUGAAGGUGCCAUCUGUUGUAAGCCCUGUCAGAAUGGGCAACUCAAUUGUUGGUGCAAGCAGUGCAUCAUGUGGUCAGAGCAUUAUUUCAGUGAAUGUUGAAGAUCCAAUUCCAGAGGUUGCAGCUGAUGGGACAGCAGAAGAUGAUGUUCUGACAGAUUUGCUUAAUUCUGUUGCUGACCAAAAUUUGCUAACAUACUGUGCAGAGCCUGACCUGUUUAUAAGUGCAGAGCAAGACCUCCUUAAUGGUGCAGAGCCAGACCAGGUUAAUGCUGCAGAGACAAAUGUGAUGGUUGCUGCUGCAGAGCCAAAUUUGCAACCUGAAAAUGCUGUGCUGUCAGAUUCAGAGUUCAGUGACAGUGAUUAUGACAUAAAUGAUGGACAUGAUGAUCUUUAUGAAGAAAACAUUGACUUUGAUGUUGAUGAAGAGGCUGAGCAAGAGGAGGUAGAGGUUGAGCCUGACUAUGUCCUUGAAGAUGAAGAUCUCAACCUCUGCACACAAGCACAAGAUCAACUGAAGUACAAAUUCGGAGCUUUCAAUUCCAAGGUGGACAUGAAAUCCCUUGUAUUUAAAUUAGGUAUGGUAUUUGCUGAUGUGGUUGAGUUAAGGAAAGCUCUCAAGGCCUAUUCAAUAAGGAACAGAGUGCAGAUCAAGAAGCUUAAGAAUGACAAGAUCAGAUUGGAGGCAGUUUGUCAGGGUGGUGGUUGCCCAUGGGUGCUUAAGGCUGGAAAUGACAACAGGACUGGAGGUUUUGUCAUCAAGGCAUACAAUGGAUUGCAUAAGUGCCAGAAGAAGUGGAAAUUAAAGGAUAUGACAGCAAAAUUCCUCUGCAACUUUUUCAUUGAUGAGUUCAGAGAUGACCAGAAGAUGUUCAUUGGAACAUUUUCAAGGAAAAUAACAAAGGAAUUCAAUGUUACUCCUAAUAGAUGGAAGCUUGCUAGGGCUAGGAAGCAAGCACUUAAGGAGAUACAUGGUGAUGAGGAAGAGCAGUUCAGCAGGCUAUGGGAUUAUGGGCAUGAGCUAAGGAGCUAAGCGGCAACGUUCGCAUUGAGGUGGACGACCUGCCAGAUCUGCCUGAAUCCGCUAUCAUCAAGCAGGAGGUUGAGGAGAAGGAGGUGGCGCCGGCUGUUCAGGAGGUUAACAAGAAGAAGAGAGCAGCAGUGAAGAGGGCAGCUGUUGUGGAGGUGCGCCGCUCCGAGCGCCUGAAGCUGCUCAAGGACUGAAGAAUGUUGCGUUUGCAAAUGGUGCUGCUUAGGUAUGCUGUUAUACCACAGCAUAUAAGUUAGAAAUAUGAUGCUAUUAGGUACGUAUGCUGAUAUAUAUGACAACAUAUAAGUUAGUAAGAUGGGGCUGUUAGCUAGGUAUGCUGCUAUAUCAUCACAGCAUAUAAGUUAGAACUCUUUUGGACAUUCUAUGGUUAGGUGUGCUACUAUAUACAUCACAUAAGUUAUAUGUAAUUAUCUGAAUAUGCAUGAUGUUGGUAUGCAACUGGAGUGCUGCAAAUGUGGUGUGCUGCACUGUUGUGCUGCAAAUGUUGCAUACAGUACUGUUUUACUUGUUUCUUUCUGCAUGUGGAAAAGCUUGAUAUACCAAAUGGAGCACUUACUAUAAAUAGCAAUCUGUACUUACAUAUGGUACAUCAUGCAGAAAUUCAGGUUUCAGACUCAAUUUUUAGUGAAAGUUCGGUUGAGUUUCAGUUCAGUUCAGUUAAGUUAGAUUCAGUUUGGUAAAAAUUCAGUCUAGUUCAGAGUGUAAGGUUAACAUUCAGUUAAGUUCUAAUUCCCUUUAGUUAAAAUUCAGUUAAUUUAAAUUCAGAGUGUUAGUUAAAAUUCAGUUAAGUUCAAAUUCCAUUUAGUUAGCAUUCAGAGUGUUAGUUAAAAUCCAGUUAAGUUCAAAUUCAGAGUGUUUAUUACUUUGGAAACUAACAUUUGACUCUAAUAUUGGGCCUACCUACCACCAUAAAUCUACUGCCUACCUACCAGCCACCAUUUCUACUAUAUAAAGCACCCCCAAUUGCCACAAACAACAGCCACAAUCCCUUCUCCUCCCCCUAGCCGCCAGAGAAAAUCCUAGGAGAGAUAGAGAUGGAUCUUGGAGAGGUCGUCGAUGAAGAAGAACAGGUGCCAAGGGUAGCCAGGCGCAGAGAGGCAAGAAGGAGGGAGAGAAGGCACCUGGCUCAGCGGAUCCUUGCAGCACGCAACCGCAAGGACAUGGAGCAGUUCCAGGAGGCAUUCCCCCUUGGCUCCAACCCUAGUGAUGAUGAUGUCAUCCACUAGGCAAGGAGGAGGGCAAACUUCCAUCCCUUUCAGGUCACUAGGAUGAGGUGGAGUAGAAUUCUAUAUCCAGAUGAAUAAGCUGUUAUGUGAUGUAGUAUCUAGAUCCUCCUGGCUAUCUACAUCAAUUCUAUAUCUAGAUCUACCUUGCUAUCUAUGUAAGAAAUCUGUUGAUGCAUGCAAUGUAAUAAAUCCUAGCUCCUCCUUCUUCUAUGCUAUGUGAUGCAGUGUAUGCAAUGUAUGAAGUAACUUAAUGAAAUCCUGGAUCUACCAUUCUGUGAUCCAAAAUACCAGUGUAUGCAACUUUCAGUUAACUGAACCAUAUUCAGUUAACAUUGCAUAGCAAACUUCAGUUAACUGCAAACUUUAGUUAACUUCAGUUAAAUGUAGAUUCAUUGUAUAUAUAAAAACACAGUGUAUACCACUUUUCAGUUAGAUUCAAUAACAAAUAAGUAAACUAACAUAACAAAUCAGUAAACUGAAACCAUGUUCAGUUAACCAAAUAAAUACUCACUUCACUGAAUCUACAUUCAGAUAACUGAAUAAUAGUUAAGUUCAACAGAAAAGCAAUUCAAUUAACUGGUAGAGCAUUGAUAAUCCAAAUUCACUUAACCAAAUAAAAACUGACUUAACUGUCACAACAUUGAUAACUCAAAUUCACAUAACAUAGUGCAUAUUAGGUCAUUGCAGCAAAUAGUACAGUGCAUCUGGAUACAGGGCAUCAAAGAUAAGCCAAAUUAACUAAACAAGUCCAAAUGAUCACUCAAAUUCAUCUAGCUACUCCCUAACCUUCCUUAUCUUGCACUUGGUGUCCUCUUUAUGCUUGAACAGGUCACCAAUCAUAUACUCUAGCUUUUUAAUCUCUUUCUUCAACAGAUCCCUUUCUUCCUUCAAUUUGUCCCUCUCUUGCUUCAUAUCAUCCCUCUGUUUCUCUGCCUUAGCCCUAACCACCUGAUGAAUGUUGGUCACUGAUUUGUCAGCCACUCUCUUCUUCUCAAGUUCUAUCUUUAGGUCAGACAGAGCUAGCCUUGUGUUGCCCAAUUCAGUAAUUGCCUGCUCUUUGUCAGCCACCAUCUUAGCAAAAUCAAGUUUAAAAAACCUUAGGUCUUUUUCCAUGGCUUCCUUCUCUUUGACAACUCUAACAUUUUCUUCAGCCUGAACAACAGCUUCCCUGAUCCUGGAUGUGACCUCAUCUUCAUACAUGCCCCAGAUCCUAGCUAGACUGGUCCUCAAUUGUGGAGGCCACUCUGGGUCAACCCAAUGCACAUAGGGGCAUUUAGGCCCAUCCUAAAAUUGGUGAGUAAAUGCAUAAUUCAGUUAACCGAAGAAAAUACAGUAACACUGAAUCAAAAUGCAGUUAGCUGGACAAAACUAAGUAAAACUGAAUCAAAAUUCAGUUAACUCACUGAAUCAAAUUUCAGUUCACUCACAGCAUGUCUAUUUGCACACGACCAUUCGAGCAUAAAGGAGCUACUUAACAACUACAUAUUUGGACAACUAAAAUAAACUAAAUGGCACAGAACUAUGAACAUGGCACAGAAUGGCACAAUAGAGCAAGUUCAAUAUCAAAUGGACCAAGCAUUUACAACCAUGAUCUAGUACUACAGCACUACCAUCUUAAUCUACAACUAGCAACAUGUACUAACCUUUUGUGCACAACCCAGGAAUCUUCUUCCACUGUCAACAGACUCAAAUGCAACAAACUUCUCACACACUGCUUGGUGCUCACACCUAUCAGGUAGAUAUGCAGCAAGGCCUGCCCAAUCGGUGCUCUCAAUGGUGCGAGGACCCUAAAACAAAAUCUGGUAAGAAAUCACAUUUUUUCUAUAACCCUAGAUGCCCAGAUGAAGGUGGACAGGAUCUCACCCGACUGGUGACUUCGUCGCCACUUGACGCAAGCGAGCUGGAUCCGGAAUCACUCCAUGAAACCAUGGCCGCUCUCUUGCUUGGCGGCUGCGGCGGGCUGGACGGCGGCGACGAGCUGCGGCGUCGAGCAGAGGAGCAAAGCAAGAAACAGAGAGGGGAAUGAGCUGAAACAGCGAGGGGAGUGAGCUGCGGGUNNNNNNNNNNNNNNNNNNNNNNNNNNNNNNNNNNNNNNNNNNNNNNNNNNNNNNNNNNNNNNNNNNNNNNNNNNNNNNNNNNNNNNNNNNNNNNNNNNNNNNNNNNNNNNNNNNNNNNNNNNNNNNNNNNNNNNNNNNNNNNNNNNNNNNNNNNNNNNNNNNNNNNNNNNNNNNNNNNNNNNNNNNNNNNNNNNNNNNNNNNNNNNNNNNNNNNNNNNNNNNNNNNNNNNNNNNNNNNNNNNNNNNNNNNNNNNNNNNNNNNNNNNNNNNNNNNNNNNNNNNNNNNNNNNNNNNNNNNNNNNNNNNNNNNNNNNNNNNNNNNNNNNNNNNAGACCGUGGUCUCCUUUAAUUAAUUCAGGUGAAAUGGUGGUAGUGCGGGUUGAUUCGAAGCAACGGCAGGGGGCUCUUUGCAAAAUGCCACGCGCUGACCGGGUGCACACCCACGAGUCUACAUGGCAGGCUCUGAUUCGCCAGGACUAGUUUUGCACAUCUUGAGCAAGUUCAGGGACUGGGUAGGGUCAUUUUUCAAGUUGUAGGACUAAACUAUCACAUUGAGAGCAAGUUCUAGGACUCUUGGUGCUUUUAACUCCAUUAACAGCUUUCUUGUAGUGUACCUUGUCUGGCCACUCAGCCAUCGACAUCGCCAUGACGCCAGACAACUACCUCCUCCUGCGCGAGUCCAUCCCGCGCAUCGGACGCUGAGCCUCCACAGCGCCAUGCCGCCGAUAACCGCCGCCAUCAUUGUGUGAGACUAAUGGCGCACCUGUAGUGCGCCAUUAGUAGCCAAAACAGGUGCGCCAUUAGUAGGCCUUUUCCUAGUAGUGUCCAAUUUUGAUAAUGAAUUUUAAUAAGAUAACGAUUGAAGUCCACCUUGGCACUGGUAGAAAAAAGCCCUUUAGUCCCGGUUCGCAACAGCCUUUAGUCUCGGCUGUGCAACCGGGACUAAAUAUGCGCGACUAAAGACCCCCCCUUUAGUCGCGCCUCUUACGAACCACGACUAAAGGCUUUAGUCCCGGUUCUCGUGGCUGACCGGGACUAAAGGCCCGUCCACGUGGCCGCCAGGGGUCCGUCGGGGCGGAGGACCUUUAGUCCCGGUUCUCGUGGCUAACCGGGACUAAAGGCCUCCUCCGUAGGUUUAGGGUUUUAGCCCCCCUAAACCUGGUUUCUUUUUAAUUUGUAGUGUUUUAUUUCUUUUAUAUUUUAUUUUGUGUUUUAUUUUAAUUUUGAUGAGGUUUCAGUACACAUAUUCUACGCUACUACAUACAUGCAUAUGAAAUUUCAAACAAGAAGAAUUCAAGAGGAAUAUAUAAUAUAUAUUCAAUCUCGGGUGACCAUAUACAACUGCGAACAAGUUUCCAUACACAAUUAGGAUGGAUGACCAUAUACAACUUCGAACAAGUUUCAAUCUCGGGUAUGCAUAUAAAUUUCUUCGUCCUCGGUAUAGUGUUCUCCUUUAGGAUUGAUGACUUCCCUCAUGAAAAAUCCUGCUAAUUCUUCUUGAAUUGGUCGGAAGCGAGCUUCUGGACUAAGCCUCCUCCGCAAGUUAUCCGUCGCGUUCCGCACGCUAUCCGAUGCCUUCUGCUCAGAGGUGUGUCUCCGGAUGUUCUCACAAACAUAGUAUCCACAUAGAUUGGUCCCCGGUGGCUGCUUAUCCACAUUAACUAACCUUCUGAAAUCUAGCUCAUGUUUGAAUUCACCGACAAUUUCUUCUGAGAACCGUCUCCAAACCCUACAGGGCAAAGAAAAUUAAAUGAACAAGGGAGUUAUUAGUUACUUGAUAUUAGGAAAUGAACGAAAGAGACCGAUCGAUAUACAGCUCAAAUGAUUGAAAAUAAUUACUUUUGCAGCAUUUUUCUCAUGUCGGCCCAACGCUUUGGAUCCGAAUCCAUAGAGUCCAUGAUUAGAACUCUGGAGGUGUGAAGUUCAAUAUUUAGCAGAAUCCAGUGGAACCUGCGGACACGUUACAUGCACAGUCAUGCAUAACUCAUCGAUUAGACAUACCAUGCAUGGAGUAAACAAAAGAGAAUGGGCACAAGAGAGAAACACUCACCCAAAAUGGUAAGGAAAUAGAAUAUGACUUUUGAGUUGAUGCUUUCUAAGAAACUUGUACAAGUCUUUCUCCACGUCUUCGGGGUGAUUUUGUAAGACAUGUCCAUUAACGAUAUGUGGGUCAAUGAACCCAACAUCAUGGAUGUUUCUUAUUUUGCAUUCCCAAAUCUUCAAUCUGCAUAAUAGCGUACGCAACAAUAUAGUUAGGACAAUAUAUAUAUAUAUAUAUAUAUAUAUAUAUAUAUAUAUAUAUAUAUAUAUAUAUAGUGCAGGCAAUGAAGAACGAGAUGAGGUAGAAAUAAAUCACUUACAGAACGUAGCAACUCAGCAUAGAUUUGUCGAGGUCGCGCAGAUUGAACAACUGGAACAAUUCACUCAUAUGAACUUGUACAGAGUACCGUUUGGUGUGAUGCUCCUCUGUAACAUCCGCAUAAACAUAUUCUUUGUCGGCCCAUGUUAUGAAUUGCUUGUACCAACGUAGCAGAUUUCGCAUUUGUGGUGGUAGACUCUUUUCCCGCGCAGGCUCGACGAGAGGCCCAUUCCGCACAUAUUGUAAUGCUAUCUCACAUACUGGCGCAUCCUCAAGGCCUAAGAAGGCACGAAGAGUCAAACCCAUCUCGGACGCUUGUUUCAUGGCACUCGCUACAGUCAAUCCAAGUGCUGCCGCAGCUGCUAUGAUCUCGGGGUCCUUUUCCGGACCGGCUUUCACUAUGAGCGGGGGGAUCGAUUGUUUCUUCUGCAUCCUGAGCUGGUCAACUUGUUUCCCGCUUUUUUUACUUUCUUCUUUCUCCUCCUUCAAUAUUUUUGCUUGCCUACGAAGUUCAUGUCCAUAGUCGUCAGGCAUAUUCAGCUCGGCUUGGGACGGUGUCGUCAAAAAAUCCUUAGCCCACUUCUUUUGCUUCUCAGUGAAUAUUGCUUGGGCUCAGGCUCUUUUAUCGCCUUCAUAUCCGCCUUCCAUUUCUCAUAAUCAGCAAACGCGGCCAAUUUGGUUUCAGCUUCACUAAGUUCCCAAGGCCUUGGGAGGGGAGGCUUCAGUGAUGGCUCCGGUACCCUUGUGGUCUUAGGUACAUAAGGGUCCGGGUUAAUAGUCCAGGAGCGGGUUUCCUUGCUGUCCGCCUGCUUCUGCUUCUUCGCCGGAGGUGGAUUGGGGGGCGUCGUACCCGCCGGAGGAGGAUUGGGGGGCGUCGUACCCGCCGGAGGUUGUGGAUCGGGGGACGGCGUCGAAUGGCAUAAAGGAGGUGUAGGUGAACCACCACGACCACCACCACCGCCACCACCACCACCAUCAGAGGGGGGUGGACUUGCUAGCCUUGGCGCCUCGCCUGGAAACACUAUGUACUUCUUUUUCCAUAGAAUGAUCUGGCGCUUGACAUCUCCAAGUCUUCUCUCCCCUUCGGGUGUAGCUUUGUCAAUCUCCAGGUCCUCAAACCCUUGGACUAUGUCUUCCACCGUGACACGAGCAUAGCCAUAUGCAAUGGGGUUGUUGUGGUGGAGUGCUCCAGGUGUACAGGGUAAAGCACUGCUGCUAGCUACCUUCGUGGAAACGUUCCCCACGGGAUAAUGCAGAUCACAUUCUUUCAUCUCCUUUACAUCAUCCACGGGGUAGUGAGGCUCCGGUGCACGAAUCUCGAUCAUCGGUGCACUAGCACUAGGCGGGGCAUCCGUGGAAGCCACGCUGCUUCUCCGCUGUUGGCUUCCGCGAUCCGCUUCAUGAUCUUCAUGCGGCCCUGCAGCCGAUUUUUCUUUUACUAUUUCAUGCACGGUCUGCUUCAACUCAUGGAGUUCCGAUGCAAACUUCGCCAUAAGAUCUGCAUCCCGGUCCGUCUUUCUCUUACGGCUUCUGUAACAGUACGGGUCAUUGUCCUGGGAAAACCCUACUUUCCACGGAACUUUGCCUUUGCCUCGUACACGUCCUCCGUGUUCAUCAUUCCCGAGGGCUGUUGUCAGUGCGUCUUUCUCUCUGUUGAACUUGAUCAAGCCCUCUUGAGCUUGGGUCAUUGCGUCAAUAAGGGCUUGGGUGGGAGCAAACUUUUUCUGCCGGUGAACACACACCCCUGUCUCCGGGUCUAGCGAUCCCCCAUGCCCGUACCACCAGCUUUUGGCCCUUGGGUCCCAUCCCUCUGUACCUAGAGGGAUUCUUCGCACCCUCAGGUCCUCCUCCAUCUUCUGCCACCUAGGCUCCGAAAGGCGGUAUCCUCCUGGCCCCAUAAUAUGAUGGAACUUUUUCUUAAUCGCAUUAUCCUUAUUUUUUUGAUAUUUCCUUGAAAUGCUCCGAUUGCUUUUGCCUCACAAAUUCUGGCCAAUCAUCUUUCAGUUUCUCAUGUUGUCCAUUGAAAUCCGGAGUCUUGCCCUUGUUGACAUAGUCACGGGUUAAAUUUUUCUUGAAGUUCCGGAAUGCUUCGCCCAUCUUCUGAAGAGCGAACUCUUUAACUAGCCUCCUCCUCUCACGUCAACCCGGAACCUCGUUACCGAAUUCAUCGACUUUGCUGUAUUCCGGAGGUAGAAUGAAAUGUUCCAUAAGCUUUCUCCAGCAAUCCUUUUUCGUUCUCUUGUCGACAAAACUGAAACCAAGACGUGCCUUCUUUGGCUCCUUCCAUUCCUGGACGGUGAUCGGGACGUUGUCUCUAACAAUGACUCCGCAUUGGUUGAUAAACUUUGAGGUGUGCUGUAGGGGCUUGCCGGUUUCACUGACAAACUCAAUGGCAUAUGUUUCUCCUGUUUUCAUCGCCUUGGAUUUGCCACGCUUUGUCGUACUCGAUCCGGCCGCGGGCUAAAAAAAGAAAGAGAGUCGCGCGCGUUAAUACAUAUGUAUUCACAUUUCAGUAAGUUUGUAUCACGAGAGGCUCAAUGUAUAUAUAUACCUCGCCGGAGGUGGUUGCUACUUGCAAUUCGAGAUCGUCGUUUGUUGAUGGUUGACCUCCGUCGACGAUGUCCGUUCCUUCACCUUCUUGAUCAUCGACAAUGUCUGUUCCACCGUCAAGGUUCAGAUCAUCGCAUGAUGUACUGAUCGUUUUCUUAUCUUUCCGUUUCCUCGGUUUGCUACUCAUGUCCUUCAAAUAAAAAACCUGAGCGACAUCUUUGGCAAGGACGAAUGGUUCGUCAAGGUAACCAAGAUUGUUGAAAUCCACCAUUGUCAUUCCGUAUUGCUCGUCCACCUUUACCCCACCUCCUGUUAGCUUGAACCAUUUGCACCGGAACAAAGGGACCUUAAAGGAGGGUCCAUAGUCAAGUUCCCAUAUCUCCUCUAUGUAACCAUAAUAUGUGACCUUUCGCCCAUUCUCGGUUGCUGCAUCAAAGCGGACACCACUGUUUUGGUUGGUGCUCUUUUUAUCUUGGGCGAUGGUGUAAAAUGUAUUCCCAUUUAUCUCGUACCCUUGGAAAAUCGUUAUAGUCGAAGAUGGUUUCUUGGCCAACAUGUACAGCUGAUCUCCAACAUCAUCAUUGUCAUUCAUUAAAUGUUUUCGCAACCAACUGCCGAAAGUCUCCAUGUGGGCCUUUCUAAUCCAGGAUUCAGGCUUCCCCGGGUUGUCCGAGCGUAAAAUAUUCUUGUGUUGCUCGAAGUACGGAGCCACCAAGCUGGAAUUUUGCAGAACUGUGUGGUGUGCUUCAGUCAUAGAAUGACCGUCCAUACAUAUCGUGGAUUUCCUUCCGAUCUUGCCUUUUCCACUUAGUCUCCCCUCGUGCCGCGAUUGAGGAAUACCAAUCGGCUUAAGGUCAGGAACAUAGUCAAUACAGAACUCAAUUACCUCCUCAUUUCCAUAGCCCUUGACGACGCUUCCUUCUGGCCUAGCACGGUUACGAACAUAUUUCUUUAAUACUCCCAUGAACCUCUCAAAGGGGAACAUAUUGUGUAGAAAUACAGGACCGAGAAUGGAAAUCUCUUCGACUAGGUGGAGCAGGAGGUGCGUCAUAAUAUCGAAGAAGGAUGGUGGGAACACCAACUCGAAACUGACAAGGCAUUGGACCACAUCGUUCUGUAACCGUGGUAGAUCUUCUGGAUUGAUUACCUUAUGAGAGAUUGCAUUGAGGAAUGCACAUAGCUUCACAAUGGCUACUCGAACAUUUUCCGGUAGGAGCCCCCUCAAAGCAAUCGGAAGCAAUUGCGUCAUAAUCACGUGGCAGUCGUGAGACUUCAGGUUUUGGAACUUUUUCUCUGCCAUGUUUAUUAUUCCCUUUAUAUUCGACGAGAAGCCAGACGGGACCUUCAUACUGCUCAGGCAUUCAAAAAAAAUGACCUUCUCUUCUUUGGUAAGAGCGUAGCUGGCACGACCUUGAAACCAUUCCGGAUGCCGGUCAUCUGGGUCUUUCAAAAGUUGUUGGUCCUGCCGUUCUUCCUUUGUAUCAUUUGUCUUCCCAUACACGCCCAAGAAGCUUAGCAGGUUCACGCAAAUAUUCUUCGUAACAUGCAUCACGUCGAUUGCAGAGCGGACAUCUAGGACUUUCCAAUAUUCUAGCUCCCAAAAUAUAGAUUUCUUCUUCCAGAUGGGUGCGUGCCCGUCAACUCCCCGCGGAACUGAUUGUCCGCCAGGACCCUUUCCAAAGAUUACUUUCAAAUCCUUGACCAUAUCAAAUAUCUUAGCACCAGUACGUUCCGCAGGCUUCGGCCGGUGAUCUGCCUUGCCGUUGAAAUGCUUGCCUUUCUUUCUUACGUUAUGAUUUCGGGAAGAAAUCGACGAUGACCCAGGUACACGUUCUUCUUACAAUUAACCAAACGUACACUUUCAGUCUCAUGUAAGCAGUGCGUGCAUGCAUUGUAUCCCUUAUUUGUCUGUCCCGAAAGGUUACUGAGAGCAGGCCAAUCGUUGAUGGUUACAAAAAGCAACGCUCGUAGGUCAAAUUCCUCUCCUUUGUGCUCAUCCCAGACACGUACACCAGGUCUGGCCCACAACUGUAAAAGUUCAUCAACUAAUGACCUUAGGUACACAUCGAUGUCGUUCCCGGGUUGCUUUGGACCUUGGAUGAGCACUGGCAUCAUAAUGAACUUCCGCUUCAUGCACAACCAAGGAGGAAGGUUGUAGAUGCAUAGAGUCACGGGCCAGGUGCUAUGGCUGGAGCUCUGCUCGCCAAAAGGAUUCAUGCCAUCAGUACUUAGACCAAAUCUUAUGUUCCUUGCGUCAGCUGCAAAAUCUUUGAACACUCUGUCGAUCUUUCUCCAUUGCGUUCCAUCAGCGGGGUGUCUCAACUCCCCGUCGGACUUACGGUCCUCUUUGUGCCAUCGCAACGACUUGGCAUGCUUUUUGUUCAUGAACAGACGUUUCAACCGUGGUAUUAUAGGAGCAUACCACAUCACCUUGGCGGGAACCCUCUUCCUGGGUUUCUCGCCCUCAACAUCGUCACCAGGGUCAUCGCCUCUGAUCUUAUAACGCAAUGCAGUGCAUACAGGGCAUUCAUUCAAAUUCUCAUAUUCACCGCGGUAGAGGAUGCAGUCGUUAAUGCAUGCAUGUAUCUUCAGAACCUCUAAACCUAGAGGGUAGACAACCUUCUUUCCUUCGUACGUACUGGCGGGCAACUCGUUAUUCUUCGGAAACAUAUUCUUCAACAUUUUCAGCAAAUUUUCAAAUGAUGAAUCACCUACACCUUCCUGUGCCUUCCAUUUUAGCAAAUCCAGUGUGCAGCCCAGCUUUUUCAGACUAUUAUCGCAUCCUGGAUACAACGACUUUUUGUGAUCCUCUAACAUGCGAUCCAAAUUCUCCCUAUCCUUGUCAGUUUCGCAGCGUCUCCGUGCAUCAGCAAUGGUCCGACCAAGAUCAUCAGCGGGCUCAUCAUGUGCCUCUUCUUCACCUUCACCUAACCCUUCCCCACCUUCAGCAUCAUCCUCCAUGAAAGUAUCACCGAAAUGAUCAUGAUAGUUGUCAUCGAUAUCAUCCCCUUCUUCAUCUUCUUCCAUUCUAACCCCUCUUUCUCCAUGCUUGGUCCAACAAUUAUAGCUUCGCAUGAAACCGUGCCGAAGCAGGUGCAUGUGAACGUCUCUUGAGGAGGAGUAACCCUUCUGAUUCUUACAGACAGCACAUGGACAGAUAAUAAAACCUUGCUGCUUGUUCGCAUUUGCCACUACGAGGAAAUCUUUCAAACCCGUAGUGAACUCGCCGGAGAGUCGGGGACCGUACAUCCAUUGCCGAUUCAUCUGCAUUAUUAUUAUAUAAAGUAUAUAAUUAACCAUCAUGCAUUUGUUAAACUAACUAGCUAGAAAUAAUACAAAUUAAACAAUGAACUACACACAUGCAUAUUUUAUCAAUGACACAUGAAAGGUUCAAGUAAAUGAGAAAGCUCAAGUGUGGCUCGGACACUUCAUAUCAUGUUUGUUUCAGGCUCUCGGGCAUUUCAUCGAACACCUUGUGUGCAUAGGAGGAACCAAAAGCAAACCCACCAUCCCCUUCUGAAAAUUGUGAAGUGAGCUGAGUGAAGUGAAGUGAGCUGAGUCCUAUAUAUAGGGAUGGGCCUUUAGUCCCGGUUGGCCUGGCCAACCGCGACUAAAGGCCUUCGGGGACCUUUAGUCCCGGUUGGCCAGGCCAACCGGGACUAAAGCCCCUCCCGUCCGCCAGCUGUCGACCGAGCGCGCUGGGCCCAAAUAGUUGGUCGCGGGUCUCCUCCCGAACCGCGACUAAAGACCCCUUUUGUCGCGGUUCGAUUGUUUUGGGGACUAAUGGGGGCGUAUGGAAGCCUCUUUUUCUACUAGUGUGGGUACUUUUUUUUUGCUUCCUCCUCACAUACCCUAAAUUUUCAUGAUACAUGCUAAUAUGAUGUAUUAUGAGGAAAUGGAAUGAAAAUAUGUAGUAUGUUCAUAAUAGUCUUGCCUUAAUCUCAUAGAAUUUUACUAUUUAUGUUUUCCCUGACUCGCCGAGUUUCCCUGACAAUUUAAUUCUCUAUAUAUCAAGAGAAAAUAUAGUAGCGAUGCUCACUAACUAAGCUAUUGUGUUUGAAAGAAAGAGUGUCGAUUUCACGUGCCAGUGACUAGAUAUAUUAGUCCUAAGAUAAGCAAGUAGUGCCCCUACCACAUCAUCGAUAGUUCGUCGUCUAUCAACCUGGUACUUGUAUAUUUUCACAUAUUUGCACUUAGUCGCAGUAUGAAAAGUGCAGAACGUUGUUUAAGCAGGAGGACAGGGCAUCCAAUACAUAUUAUACGGUUUAUUCUCGGCCGCCAUUGUUUUGUCCUGGCUGUCAUCGUCCAUGUGCACACCGCUGCCAUAUGGUCGGCCAUGCAAGGCGACCACUUCACCAGCACGUUCAUCCAGGAUUUAUGACAAUAUAUAAUCUGGUGAGUUAUUUUUGUCCACUAAUACAUAUCUAAUCAUGUGAAUGCAUCUAUAUGUGUACAAACUUUAUCCUAGGUUUAUGGGUCUAUCAAUACCACACACACACACAAACACAUCUCUUUCGUAUUUUUCCAAACUAAUAGUACAUACUUCUUGAGUAGCCCGUUCUAAGAUCGGCCCUCACUAUAUCUUGAAUGUGGCCUCAAUAGCUGCUAAUAGUAGUGGCACGUCCUCGUGAUCCAUCACGACGAGCUCACCAUCAUUUUAUUUGCCGGUCAGGGAGACAUAUAACUAAGCUAGGAUUAAAUUCGACUUUGCUGGUCCUAAAAAAAACCUAAAAAAGGUAAAAUCCACUGUCCAUCUGUCCCGGUUCGUGUAAGAACCGGGACUAAAGGCUCAGGGCAUUAGUAACGAGCUUUUAUUCCUGGUUCCAAAACCGGGACAGAAGGCCCUUACGAACCGGGACAAAUGGCCCUUUUUCUACUAGUGUGUGGAGGUUCUUCUUCCCCAUCGGCACCUUCUUGUCAGCACGGGGAGGCGGUGGUAAUGGCAACGUUGGAUAAAUGAGUGGUUACCGGCUAGUAUGCAUGAUACUGGGAUGAUGCAUGCUAUUUAGUUGAGACCUUCCAAUUUUGAUAAUGAAUUUUAAUAAGAUAACGAUUUAAGUCCACCUUGGAUACUUUUGUUUUGCUUCCUCCUCAGUUACCCUAAAUUUUCAUGAUACAUGUUAAUAUGAUGUAUUAUGAGGAAACGAAAUGAAAAUAUGUCGUGUGUUCGUAAUAGUUUUGCCAUAAUCUCAAAGAAUUUUACUAUUUAUGUUUUCCCUGACUCGCCGAGUUUCUCCAACAAUUUAAUUCUCUAUAUAUCAAGAGAAAAUAUAGCAGCACGCUCGCAUUUGAAAAUGGUCAAUGUCCCCGCCUACCCAUUGGUGCAUGCAUCUUUUUUGCACAAGCUCACGGCUCAAUUCCUUCAGCGCUCCCACCAUGUCCACCUCAGCUUGGCAAAUAUCCUAUGUAAGGGCGAAGCCGACCUCAUGCCAAGCCUACUAUAAGCUCACAUCCAUUUGGGCCGAGCCUAGCUUGGCUUGCUACUUGACGAAGAAGAUAGCAAGGCCCGGGUCGAGCUUGUCCACAACUUGGUCAAACUCGAUGCAGCACACGAGCAUCGUCCCGGUGUAGACGCGUUGGUUCUUCUUCCCCAUCGGCCGCUUCUUGUCAGCGAAGGGAGAGAUGGUGGUGGUAAGGGUCAAUGAAUGAUUAGCCGCAGACCAAUAUGUAUGAUACAAGGAACAUGCAUGCUAUUUAGUUGAGACCUUGCAACUUUGAUAAUAAAUUUUAACAUGAUAAUUGUUUAUUUUGUUUCUAAAUUUUGAUGAUACAUUUUGAUAUGAUGUAAUUUGAAUUCAUAGAACAAGAAAUAUUUAGUUUUUUCAUACUAGUUCUGCAACAAUCUCAAUGAUUUUUCUCGUCGAUUUCCUAUGCCUUUAGAGUUCAUAAUAGUUAUGUCUAAUGUGGAAUACAAUGUAUGUGACAAUCAAGAAAAUUUUCUAACACUCAAGAAAUUUUGCAAUUUUAAAAAAAUGUUCAUGGCAUUUUCAAAAAAUGUUCACCAUGUGUUUAAUAAAAAACUGAUAGUGAAAAACACAAAUAAAGACAAGAAAAAUGACCGUCUAUAACCUUCCCAAAAUGGAACAGAAUCAGACGGAAGUUUCCAUGAACGGGAGCUCACAAGCUUCCCAAAAUCACUUCCUGGGUCCUAUCAGUUAAGCGCAUCCAUGUAGGCGAGGCUACCACAGGGGCGUUUCCAAAGAGCAUAAAAUAGCUGAUCAAAAACACAGUCGAGCCCAAACAUACUACUGGAAUCUGGUUUUGUGAACCUUCUAGAAGGUUAUGGUCUGAUUUUUACCACUAUUUGGAAACUUCUACAAGGUUGUCAUUCGUUGUUCAGUUUCUAUUUUUAUUAUUUUUGAAUUUUUUGGAUUUUAUUGUUUUUACAAAAAAGUUAUAAUUUUCAAAAAAUAAAUUUUUAAAUUUUUUUUUUUAGAAAAUUUGGAAGUUUUUGAAGAAAUUUUUGGACCGUCUAUAAAUGGUUGCAUUUUCAAAAGCAAUUGGGAGUUCUUUUGGGCAUUUUCUUGGUUUUCAACAUUGCUCUGAAAAUUAGAAACUCUUUAAAAUGUUAUAGAAUGUUCUUGUUUUAAAAAAUGUUCCCUUUUAGGAAAAAAUGUGCCGGAUAUUUCCAAAAAUGUUUGGUAUUUAUAAAAAAUCUUGCUUCUUUCUAAAUUGGGAUCUAAAAAAUGUGCGAAUUAUUGAAAUAUGUUCAUGCUAUCCAAAAACCAGGUUAUGUCUGUAAGUUAGAUAAAGCUUUAUAUGGAUUGAAACAUGCACCAAGAGCAUGGUACUCAAAGUUGAUCAUACAGUUAGAAGAACUUGGGUUUACUCCAUCUAAGGUAGAUACCUCACUGUUUUCCUACAGGAAAGGCAAAAUUACUAUAUUUGUUCUUGUCCAUGUUGAUGAUAUAAUUGUUGCCAGUUCUAGCCCCGAUGCUACUACUCGGGUGCUUAAGGAUAUGAAGUUAGAGUUUGCCAUAAAGAUUUUGAAGUUAUGAUCCCUCGCAUCCAACUUCAGCUGCAGCACAGGCCCAUGCUGAGAUAGCUAGAGCUGCUACUACCACUGCUAGUCCUAGCUCUUCGACUUCUCCAAUGCACAAGACUAAGACUGAGCAGGUGAUAUAUCUUCUUAAAGCUACUCAGAGGAUUGAGUGAGGCGUAGCUAACCUCAUGAAAAACCAGGAGAGCUCUUGAUGUCAAGGUCACUGAGAUUCAGACUACAGUUGAUAAGCUCAAGGCAGAUGUUUACGAUGAAAAGAUGAGUAGCAGUGAUGAUAACGGUGACGCACUUCCGACCACGACUCGGUUUCAGACCAUGCACCGGUCUGUUGCUGUUGUUGCGACUUUAGAUACUCGAGCCAUUGUGUCUGCUCCAGCUGUUGCACCCUCGGUUGCCUAUCCAGCAAAUUACACCGUGCCAAUCGCCUGAUCCAAGCCCGAAUGAUAGGCUCCUUCGCAUCUUCGUGUUUAAGUACAGUUGAGCCGGCUAGGGCCCACAUACUUGCAGUUUGGUUGGUAAAUCCUACCUUGCCGCCUGAUGACGCGAUCUUUUCUUGUGGAAGAGUUGGCUGCCAUGGCAGCAUUUCCAGCCGAUGACGUUGUUGCUUCCAUGCAGUGCUUCUAGUUUUGGUCCUGCUCGGAGCUGCACGUAUGUUGACAAUCUAUAACUGCACAUAUUAUUUCUCCGUGAGCAGAAGUAUAGAAGGCUCAAAUCCACCCCGUCCGCUCUUCCGUGACGCCCCGGCGCGGCAUUCUGGCGAGCCACUUCUUCGUCCGUUCCCCUUCCUCCCUCUCUCCUCCCUCCCCACCCCCUGCCGCCUAGGCGUGCUGUUGGGCAAAGCUUGGGUAGUGUGGGCAGCGGAGGGGCUCCUUUGCCGUCCUGGCAUAGUGGUGGCUGCACGGGAUGUGGACAGCAGGUAGAGCAUUAGGCUUAGCGUGGGCUAUGGUGGCGGCUGCACGGCACGUUGAUCGCCAAAGCCUGAUCACGGUUUUCAUAAGGCGACGAUUCCAUGAGAUAGGCACAGGUACAAAAUCUCAAUGAUCAUGCCUUCAAGAAUGAAACAACAUCCACAAAUGUUGUCAUCACCACACCAAAAAGACUUUGUCCAAAGAACAGCAGACCAAUGGCAUGGACAAUGUCCGAGACAUACCCCAUUAUUUCCGUCCGAAUUAAUGAACUGUUAAACGCGAUAGAAAAUAAAAGAUAGUACAAUUUUCAUCGAUGAGGUACAGUGCGCUUGGUGAUCCAGAUUUUUUAAGAGAUGCCCUCUAGUUGGGAGAGAUUACCAGAUCUAGAUCGGGUCGCUUGGGAUCUAAUAAGUCUGGAAAACUCAGCAUACUUACGAAAUUAAGGCUGUAUACUAAGUUUGGAAUCUCGUGCGUGCACAUGGUGCAGUCAGCAAUGAGACGUUUUCCCAGCUAUAAGUACAUCUCCUUUCUUUCUUUCCUAAGUACAACCAGCUAGAGCUAAUAGUACCCAACUAGCUUGAGUAGUACAUUUCUUGCACAUCCACAGAACUCGAUCAUGGCGGCCGUUCCUCCUAAUGUCGAGGUCUCCAUUGUCCCUGCACCCACUACAUACAGAAAGACUAUCCUCCGCAACCUGUGGUUGGGCCGCACUGGUGAUGACACCCAGAAAUCCCUUCUUGAGGUGGCCAAGUUUGGGCAUUACGUUGUUGUCAACUGGACUGUAUUUGAAGGAG